rnacentral:rRNA from 1 species
GACGAACGCUGGCGGCGUGCCUAAUACAUGCAAGUAGAACGCAGUUGCGAACGGGUGAGUAACGCGUAGGUAACUGCCUCAUAGCGGGGGAUAAAUAUUGGAAACGAUAGCUAAUACCGCAUACUGUGAGAUGGACUUUCGUUGUAUUAGCUAGUUGGUGAGGUAAAGGCUCACCAAGGCGACGAUACAUAGCCGACCUGAGAGGGGUAACGGCCAAACUGGGACCGAGACACGGGCCAGACUCCUACGGGAGGCAGCAGGAGGGAAGUAUUGGCAAUGGAAGGAAGUCUGACCGAGCAACGCCGCGGGAGUGAAGAAGGUUUUCAGAUCGUAAAGCUCUGUUGUGAGAGAAGCGGUAACUAAACAAAAAGGGCCGGCUAACUACGUGCCAGCAGCCGCGGUAAUUC